rnacentral:lncRNA from 1 species
UAUAAAGGACUGGGACAUUAGCAGACUCGGGCACCCUGUAAAAUAGAUGCUCCAGUGGGAUGGCAGAAGAAGCUGCAGGAGGAGAGGAAAACAGGAAGAAUCCUUGGUGGUGUUCAGAGCCAAGAUGGCUGAGAGAAAGUAAGCAGGACAAUUGCUCUGAGUCAUGACUGAUGCAAUCUGGAUACUGCAAGGCUCUCUUCUGAUCCUCUGAAGCUCCUAAACUUUGUGCUUAGGUAAUUAAGAAGCUGAUUUGCAGAACUUCUCCUUUAUCCUCACACAUCAUCUCAUUGCACGAACCACUAUGAAUGACAGAAAGUAAUUUGUUUAAUUACAUUGCAUUUUUAUUAUAAAACCACAAC